rnacentral:tRNA from 1 species
UUUAAUGUAGUUUAAAAAAAAACAUCUGAUUUGUAAUCAGAUAAUGAAUCUUUGUAUUCCGUGAAUU